GACGAACGCUGGCGGCGUGCUUAACACAUGCAAGUCGAACGGUAAGGCCCUUCGGGGUACACGAGUGGCGAACGGGUGAGUAACACGUGGGUGAUCUGCCCUGCACUUCGGGAUAAGCCUGGGAAACUGGGUCUAAUACCGGAUAGGACCCUGGGAUGCAUGUCCUGGGGUGGAAAGCUUUUGCGGUGUGGGAUGGGCCCGCGGCCUAUCAGCUUGUUGGUGGGGUGAUGGCCUACCAAGGCGGCGACGGGGAGGCGGCCUGAGAGGGUGACCGGCCACACUGGGACUGAGAUGCGGCCCAGACUCCUACGGGAGGCAGCAGUGGGGAAUAUUGCACAAUGGGCGCAAGCCUGAUGCAGCGACGCCGCGUGAGGGAUGACGGCCUUCGGGUUGUAAACCUCUUUCAGCACCGACGAAGCGCAAGUGACGGUAGGUGCAGAAGAAGGACCGGCCAACUACGUGCCAGCCGCCGCAGUAA
rnacentral:rRNA from 1 species